UUUGUUUGGAGGGAAUUCGAUGGUAAAUUUAAUUUUACCAUAGGAAAGUCCGGACACCGUAGGGCAUGAUUCCACGCGAAAGCGUGGGGGGUUGCGCAGAAAUGCCAACUCACGGAAAGUACAACAGAAAGUAUACCGCCGCAAGGUAAGGGUGAAAAGGUGGGGUAAGAGCCCACCGGGCAUUGAGUAAUCGGUGUUCCAUUGGAAACCCAAUCAGGUGCAAGACAAAAUAAGAAAUGGGGUGGCUCGCCCAGUGAUUUCGGGUUUGUCGCAUCCCGCCUAGGGAAACAACUUGAAUGCUGUUAGAUAAAUGAAUUCCGAGCCGAAAGGCUUACAAAAUCUGGCUUAUAUCCAAACAAAACAU
rnacentral:RNase_P_RNA from 1 species